rnacentral:lncRNA from 1 species
UUUCCAUACAGUUGCAGCAAAUUUAUUUCAGAAGCAGAGAGAAGUGGCAUUGGCUUGAGUGGUUGGAUCUGAAGAAGGAUCGGAGUAGAAUGUACACCCAACCGAAGUUGAAUCAAGGUGGGAGUUAAGGGUUUUUUCCCGCAGCUCCGCUACAAACUUGCAUAAAGGCACAAAGCGAUUCGCAUGCAUUGCAUGACAGGAGACGCAGAUUUUAAGGAAUUUCGUCUCGAUCUCACGCUUCAGUAGGAGAAAGAAACUCACCUUCUGGCUCGAGUGUGAGGGACACCAUCACUUGGUUGAAACAUGAAGAAAGGAACCAGAUGCGGAUAAUAGUCCUACCAAGAGGUUGGUCAUCACGAGCUCAGUAGCAAGCAGUAACACCAAGGCUGACAAGAAAGAAUCACACCAGCGGGUCGUUUGAAAUCCGAGGAAGUUUCCUGACUCAAUGACGUUCCAAGUCCGACAACACUUCGCAUGCCACCAUCUCCGAAUCCUAAGGCGAAAACUCGGGAACACACUCUGUACUUUUGGAAACGCUAGCUGUCAACAGCAGCUCAAUGCACACCGGAAGACUAUGGUGCACUACAGCCCCAGCCAUCAAAAGCACUGCCAAAAGCCAGAACCCAAACGCCAUCUUCUGAACAUCUCCCCCCUCUCCUCUCCUCUCCUCUCCUCUCCUCUCUUUUCCUCUACACUACACUUCCCUCUCGUAAAACUCGCGGCCAAGGAAUCUCACUGUUGCUCUCCAGCGUCUCCCACUUGUGUAUACACACGGAGUGAACGAGAGAGAACGAGAGAAACAUGAUUAACGGAUAGUCAACAUCUAUAAUUCUAAAACCAGGAGCCUGGUUGGUUGACCGCAAUGCAUUCAUCGAUCGGCUCGGGGCUCCCUCCACACCAUGCGCGGUCUACUCCGUGAUGUGUCGAGAACUGGAUUGGUGAAGAUCCAGUUGACCUCGUGUGUGCCGGAUUUGUGCCUCUCUCCUGCGGGAAUGUCGCCGACUCGAUCGUCCCCGUCCCUCCUCGGGGGCUUAUAUUUAAACCCGAGGUGAGCAGAACCCAUGCUCCCGCAUUCAAUACGACUGCCCUAAUUCUGGCGUAUGAAUGAAUGAGUUGGCUAACCUGCCUUUACUAAAUGACAACCACAAUCAUCGACGGAGUGGAUGCCAUAUAAUUUGAUCUCAUGACACCAAACUCUGUUUCUAGACACACAAGAUUUCUUCUUUCGGAGAUGGAGGUUAUUGAUAGGGGGAUUGGUUGUGAAGAAUGGGAUGGUCAUAUAUUUAUAUAUAUAUAUAUAUAUAUAUAUACAUAUUUGUAAACGAUUUGAGCUUUAUGUGGCUCUUCAAUAUAUAUAUUAUUUCACUCUAGGUAGCAUUCUCGUGCUUGUCACUACAUGUUCAUUUAAAUUACACCAUUCAACCACUGUUUAUUUUCUAACUAAUGUUUAAAAGCUUCU